rnacentral:tRNA from 1 species
GGGCCCGUGGCCCAGAAUGGACUAAGGCAUCGGCCUGCGGAGCCGAGGAUCGUGGGUUCAAGUCCCACCGGGCCCG